rnacentral:misc_RNA from 1 species
GAUGAAGAACGUAGUGAAAUGCGAUAAGUAAUGUGAAUUGCAGAAUUCAAUGAAUCAUCGAAUCUUUGAACGCACAUUGCGCCCGCCAGUAUUCUGGCGGGCAUGCCUGUUCGAGCGUCAUUUCAACCAUCAAGCCCCCGGCUUGUGUUGGGGACCUGCGGCUGCCGCAGGCCCUGAAAACCAGUGGCGGGCUCGCUGUCACACCGAGCGUAGUAGAUUUUCAUCUCGCUCAGGGCGUGCUGCGGGUUCCGGCCGUAAAAAGCCUUAUUUACCCAAGGUUGACCUCGGAUCAGGUAGGAAGACCCGCUGAACUUAAGCAUAUCAAUAAGCGGAGGA